UAUCAACCAAUUUCCUUCCAAAUCUCGGGCAGUGCUGUUGACGGAAAAAAGUGGACAAACGAUUUCCAGUUCAUCUA
rnacentral:ribozyme from 1 species